AGGAUAAUAGUUAAUAAUAACAUUUAAUUUGCAAUUAAAAAUAAUUGAUAUAAUCAAUUUAUCUUA
rnacentral:tRNA from 1 species